CAAGUUGGGUACUCACUCGAUAUAGAGUGUAGAGCGAACGAGGGGAACUGAAACAUCUAAGUACCCUUAGGAAGAGAAAUCAAUUGAGAUUCCCGUAGUAGUGGCGAGCGAAGUGGGAAGAGCCUGGUAUGAUUUAGCUGUAAUUAUAGUAGAACAAGUUGGGAAGCUUGACGAUAGAGGGUGAUAGUCCCGUAUACGAAAUAAUCACAGUGGAACUAAGCAUACGAACAAGUAGGACGGGGCACGUGGAACCUUGUCUGAAUAUGGGGGGACCAUCCUCCAAGGCUAAAUACUCCUGAAUGACCGAUA
rnacentral:rRNA from 1 species